UACGUAGGGUGCAAGCGUUGUCCGGAAUUAUUGGGCGUAAAGAGCUCGUAGGCGGUUUGUCGCGUCGGCUGUGAAAACCUGGGGCUCGACCCCGGGCCUGCAGCCGAUACGGGCAAGCUAGAGUUCGGUAGGGGAGACUGGAAUUCCUGGUGUAGCGGUGAAAUGCGCAGAUAUCAGGAGGAACACCGGUGGCGAAGGCGGGUCUCUGGAACGCAACUGACGCUGAGACGCGAAAGCGUGGGGAGCAAACAGG
rnacentral:rRNA from 1 species